GACGAACGCUGGCGGCGUGCUUAACACAUGCAAGUCGAACGGAAAGGCCCUGCUUUUGUGGGGUGCUCGAGUGGCGAACGGGUGAGUAACACGUGAGUAACCUGCCCUUGACUUUGGGAUAACUUCAGGAAACUGGGGCUAAUACCGGAUAGGAUCUCCUGCUGCAUGGUGGGGGUUGGAAAGGUUCGGCGGUUGGGUAUGGACUCGCGGCUUAUCAGCUUGUUGGUGGGGUAGUGGCUUACCAAGGCUUUGACGGGUAGCCGGCCUGAGAGGGUGACCGGCCACAUUGGGACUGAGAUACGGCCCAGACUCCUACGGGAGGCAGCAGUGGGGAAUAUUGCACAAUGGGCGGAAGCCUGAUGCAGCAACGCCGCGUGCGGGAUGACGGCCUUCGGGUUGUAAACCGCUUUCGCCUGUGACGAAGCGUGAGUGACGGUAAUGGGUAAAGAAGCACCGGCUAACUACGUG
rnacentral:rRNA from 1 species